rnacentral:snRNA from 1 species
AUGCUCGCUUCAGCAGCACAUAUACUAAAAUUGGAAUAAUGCAAAGAAGACUAACAUGUUUCCUGCGCAAGGAUGACAGAAAGACCAAUUCAAAAUGGAU